UUUUUUCACAGGUACUGCUAUCGCUUCGUAUACAGGGAAAAUUUUUUUAUAUACGCCAAAUUUGUCGGCAUGCCUGGGGAACGUGAUAUCCGGGGCAUGACAAUUCAAAUUUUAAUUUUUAAUUUAAAUUCAAAUUUUAAAUUAUUUUAAAAUAAAAUUCAAUAAAAAUAUUAAUAUAUGCAAGCAUCAUAAUUUUUUUGCUAAACAGCUUUAAAAAAUCAAUUUAGAAAAAUCACUUUUAUCUAGACUCAACCAAACACUCUACAGCGCGCUUUUCACCAAAAUCAAUUCUCCAAACCAAAACCACUUCUGCAGAAAUCACUUUUCCAGAAGUUAGGCCAAACAGGCCCUAUGGCACUGUUGUCUUUAUUUUCUGAUUUUAAGGAUUAGAUUGCUUUACUGAAUAUGAUUGAAAUUUGUUU
rnacentral:lncRNA from 1 species